UGGGGAAUAUUGCACAAUGGGCGCAAGCCUGAUGCAGCCAUGCCGCGUGUGUGAAGAAGGCCUUCGGGUUGUAAAGCACUUUCAGCGAGGAGGAAGGUGGUGGACUUAAUACGUUCAUCAAUUGACGUUACUCGCAGAAGAAGCACCGGCUAACUCCGUGCCAGCAGCCGCGGUAAUACGGAGGGUGCAAGCGUUAAUCGGAAUUACUGGGCGUAAAGCGCACGCAGGCGGUUUGUUAAGUCAGAUGUGAAAUCCCCGGGCUCAACCUGGGAACUGCAUUUGAAACUGGCAAGCUAGAGUCUCGUAGAGGGGGUAGAAUUCCAGGUGUAGCGGUGAAAUGCGUAGAGAUCUGGAGGAAUACCGGUGGCGAAGGCGGCCCCCUGGACGAAGACUGACGCUCAGGUGCGAAAGCGUGGGGAGCAAACAGAUUAGAUACCCUGGUAGUCCACGCUGUAAACGAUGUCGAUUUGGAGGUUGUGCCCUUGAGGCGUGGCUUCCGGAGCUAACGCGUUAAAUCGACCGCCUGGGG
rnacentral:rRNA from 1 species